AAACUAACAAGGAUUCCCCUAGUAACGGCGAGUGAAGAGGGAAGAGCCCAAGAUUGAAAGCUGGCGUCUUCGGCGUCCGCAUUGUAAUCUCAAGAAGUGUUUUCCGCUUCGGACCAUGCCUAAGUCCCUUGGAAAAGGGCAUCAUAGAGGGUGAUAAUCCCGUACAUGGCAUGGCAGCGCCCGAGAGCUUUGUGAUACGCUUUCUAAGAGUCGAGUUGUUUGGGAAUGCAGCUCAAAAUGGGUGGUAAAUGCCAUCUAAGGCUAAAUAUUGGGGAGAGACCGAUAGCGAACAAGUACAGUGAUGGAAAGAUGAAAAGAACUUUGAAAAGAGAGUUAAACAGUACGUGAAAUUGCCAAAAGGGAAGGGUAGGAGGUCAGAGAUGCGUCUUGGGAUUCAGCCUUGCUUUUGCUUGGUGUUUUUCCCAAGUUGCAGGCCAACGUCGGUUUUGGGCACUGGAGAAGGGUGGAAGGAACGUGGCACCUCUCUGGGGUGUGUUAUAGCCUUCUACUGGAUACAGCGACCGAGACCGAGGACAGCAGCGUACUCGCAAGAGCGGGCCUUCGGGCACCUUUACGCUUAGGGCGUUGGCAUAAUGGCCCUCUACCACC
rnacentral:rRNA from 1 species